GCCAAAAUGGACAGGCUGUGUGCUAUCUUGCAUAUUGUUGGGUCUAUAAAGUUCAUGGCAAUAUUAGUAAACUUCAGUGUUUAAUUUAAAGCACUUGUGACAUUAUGCUCGAUUGUCACUUCAUGGCAAAUAGAAAAUGUGGGUUUUGAAGCUCACAUUUCUAUACAUAAAACAGCUUCUGCCUUGUAAAAUAUUAGAAAAACAGCCUUGUAAUAUAACUAACAGCAACAGAAGUCUUAAUACGGUACUGUGUUUCUGAUGACUACACGUCAUGAAGUUGAUUUUGUCUAAACCAGGCAUACUGUUAUAGUUUUCUGUUCUCUAAACAUGCAGUUUCAAACAGAGAUGGAAACUCUCUGGCACAGAAAACUGAAUUGCGUGGUGAGAUUGUAAAGGAAGAUGGUGAAUAAAACAACGGAGCAUAGAGAAUGUGAACAGACCUCUUAUUGUGUGGCAUGAAAGCUAAUUAAACAUUGGUGUCGGAGGCACCCCCAUCGCCAAACAGCAGUCCUUUAUCACCCUUUCUCUUUCUCCGCGUUUCCUUUAUGUCGCUCGCUCUCUCAGGCUAUCGAUGCUACUUCACAUACAUUCCUUCAGUCCUGCUUUCUGUUCACUGGGAUGAUGAAACUGUGGAGCAUGACACAUUGAUCUCCACGUCUGAAGUUCAGCCAUGUGUGGACCUCCUGUAAUCCCAGCAAAUGACCUGAGAGCUCCCUACUUCCUGGAGAACUUGGCACCACUUCUUUGUAAAGAAAGAAAGGCAUAGCUUGGCAAUGGCCCGAACCCAGAGAACCCCACUAGGUGUAGUGAGAACUCGAUAGGGUGAGAGGAGAUAGGGUGGUGGAGGGAUGCUGAUCAACCGUCAAAAGGAUAGAGGUCUGGGGUCCAAGGGCAUCCCUGACAAACACCCAAAGAAGAGUGUCACUCACGCCCAGAGGGAGCAGCAGCAGUGCUGGUAGGAGAGGAAAGAGCAUUGCACAAGGACACGUGACUAGGACUAG